rnacentral:rRNA from 1 species
GUGGGGAAUAUUGCACAAUGGGGGAAACCCUGAUGCAGCAACGCCGCGUGAGCGAUGACGGCCUUCGGGUUGUAAAGCUCUGUCUUUGGGGACGAUAAUGACGGUACCCAAGGAGGAAGCCACGGCUAACUACGUGCCAGCAGCCGCGGUAAUACGUAGGUGGCAAGCGUUGUCCGGAUUUACUGGGCGUAAAGGGAGCGUAGGUGGAUAUUUAAGUGGGAUGUGAAAUCCCCGGGCUUAACCGGGGGGCUGCAUUCCAAACUGGAUGUCUAGAGUGCAGGAGAGGAGAGUGGAAUUCCUAGUGUAGCGGUGAAAUGCGUAGAGAUUAGGAAGAACACCAGUGGCGAAGGCGACUCUCUGGACUGUAACUGACACUGAGGCUCGAAAGCGUGGGGAGCAAACAGGAUUAGAAACCCCUGUAGUCC